ensembl:lncRNA
CACURCAAAGCUGACUACACACUUUUGUUGUUGGGUAAUCCAGAAAGAGAAAUCUUCUUUCAUUCUUUUACCGGGAAAAUCCUCUUUCUCUUCCAUGAGCAUAAAGAAUUGGAAACUGUGGCAAAACAACACACAUGCUCUGGAACUGUGGCGUAACAGCCCUUGACUAUUUGAUGAUAUCUUCAAUGCAAAGUCAGCCUGAGUGGUUCCUGUAUGCAAAGCGGCCAGAACAGAAAACCGUAGAACAGCUGGCAGAGUCCUCCAUAGCAGGAAAAUCAUGUCACAGUUACCAAGAUUUAUGUGAGGUUUGA